UCAGUCGGUAGAGCAUCAGACUUUU
rnacentral:piRNA from 8 species